UACGUAGGUGGCAAGCGUUGUCCGGAUUUACUGGGCGUAAAGAGCGCGCAGGCGGUCGAUUUAGUCGUGUGUGAAAGCCCCCGGCUCAACUGGGGAGGGUCACGCGAUACUGAUCGACUCGAAGGCAGGAGAGGGUAGUGGAAUUCCCGGUGUAGUGGUGAAAUGCGUAGAUAUCGGGAGGAACACCAGUGGCGAAGGCGACUACCUGGCCUGUUCUUGACGCUGAGGCGCGAAGCUAGGGGAG
rnacentral:rRNA from 1 species